CUUCUGUUUGGGGAAAGACUAUAUUUUAUGUGUCAGGCAUUUGUGCUGCUGAGGAGCUGUGUAGAGGAUGGGGGCAGGGAGUGCUGAACAGGCAGAGCCUAUUGGAGAUUCAAGGACAAGGACAGGAGGGAAGGCACCCCAGAGUGAGGGAAGUCUGCUGAGAGCAGGGCUGAGGCUCUUUGUGGGAGGAGCACUGUCAGAGUAAGACAAAUGGAGGUGAAGACUCACAUCCUGGAGCCAGUCACUGGAGCCGAGCCUUGGAAGGCCACUUCUAGGCUUGUUCAAUUAAAAAAAAAGAAGAAGAAGAAAACGACUGAAGUUUUGUCAGGCCUGUAAUCCCAGCACUCUAGGAGGCAGAGACAGAAGGAUCCCAGUUCAAGCCCAGCCUGUGCUUGACCACUUAUUGAGACUCUGCCUCAAAAAUUUAAAAAGGCUGGGGAUGUAGCUCAGCGAGGAGACCCUGGGUUCAGUUCCCAGUAAAACACACACAGGCGCCACGCUGCACAAGCUGCUCAGCAGCCACUACCUUAUCAAAUUUUCCCAGGCGUCCUGUAACUGUUAUCACUCAUUUGGGAGGAGAGGUCAGAGAGAGGUGUGGCAGCCCCAGAUCACUUAGCGCCGGCUCACUCGAGGACAGCGCCUGAUGAAGAUUGGUCUGAGGCUUCAAAGCCCGGCCGCUCUUGCCUUAGGGGAGUUGCUGCUAGGGGAAAAGUAAAAAAUAAGAAAUAAAAUCAACCAACCCUCUGAGAAGGGUCUGCGGGGACAAAACCUCUGUGCCAGAGAAUGGCUGGGGCUCCAAGGCCGGAGCAGGGACGGAAGGCGGCGGGUCCCCGCUGGGCGAGCCCGACUUGGCGCAGAUGGACCGGGAGCAGGGAGGCCGCAGUGCUGAGGCCCGCACCCUUGCGCGUGGCCGUGAUUGAUGAGGACAGCCCGGCAGGCAGCGAGAUAAGACAGGGCCCCGGGCGGCUGCGGAGGGGAGGAGGGGUGAGGGGAGGCUAUGAAUAUUUCAGAGGCUGAGGCCGGGGCUGGAGGAAAAGGGG
rnacentral:lncRNA from 1 species